rnacentral:rRNA from 1 species
GAUGAACGCUGGCGGCGUGCCUAAUACAUGCAAGUCGAGCGAACGGACGAGGAGCUUGCUUCUCUGAUGUUAGCGGCGGACGGGUGAGUAACACGUGGAUAACCUACCUAUAAGACUGGGAUAACUUCGGGAAACCGGAGCUAAUACCGGAUAAUAUUUUGAACCGCAUGGUUCAAAAGUGAAAGACGGUCUUGCUGUCACUUAUAGAUGGAUCCGCGCUGCAUUAGCUAGUUGGUAAGGUAACGGCUUACCAAGGCAACGAUGCAUAGCCGACCUGAGAGGGUGAUCGGCCGCACUGGAACUGAGACACGGUCCAGACUCCUACGGGAGGCAGCAGUAGGGAAUCUUCCGCAAUGGGCGAAAGCCUGACGGAGCAACGCCGCGUGAGUGAUGAAGGUCUUCGGAUCGUAAAACUCUGUUAUUAGGGAAGAACAUAUGUGUAAGUAACUGUGCACAUCUUGACGGUACCUAAUCAGAAAGCCACGGCUAACUACGUG